GUCGAGGUGAACGAGACUCUGUGUUAGUGAAACGGGCACAAGAAAAAAUGCCACAAAAAGACAUUUCCAUUUCUUCGAGGAUUUUUAAAGAGGAGUGGUGUUACUCAGCUUGUCACAGGAUAUCUACCAAGUGUUGUAUUAAUUUUGUUUUCCUACAUAGUUCCUCCAUUGAUGAUGCUAUUUUCUAAAAUGGAGGGCUCUAUCU
rnacentral:misc_RNA from 1 species